GGGCAUUUGGUCUAGUGGUAUGAUUCUCGCUUAGGGUGUUAGAGGUCCUGAGUUCAAUUUUCGAAAUGCCCC
rfam:Glycine soja cultivar W05 scaffold4438_31, whole genome shotgun sequence.